GUUUCUUCUACUGUGCCUGAAGGUAAAGGUGUAUCUUCAUCUGCUGCUGUGGAGGUGGCGAGUAUGUCCGCAAUAGCUGCUGCGCAAGGACUGAGUAUCAGCCCCCGAGAUCUUGCUAUACUCUGCCAAAAGGUGGAGAAUCACAUUGUUGGAGCUCCAUGUGGUGUUAUUGGAUCAGAUGACUUCGUCCUGUGGGGAAGCCAACAAACUUUUGGCCAUGGUCUGCCAAGUAGGUCUUAGUAACUCCCAAGCUAGAUGUAAAACAUCAUCAUUUUCCUGAGAUAACAAGAUUCUAUCCAUUCCUUUUGUGAAUUACUUGUGACCGAAGCUUGUGACCGAAGCUUCAGUA